UAGUGAGAGAACAUUUUGUCCUCUUUUAAGUGUGCUUGCAUGAGAAGCAGAAGUGUCUGUGGUUUUUUGUGUGUGUGUGCAUCGGAGGUCUGAAGGUCAACGUCUGGUUUCGGUCUUGCAGACAGCUCCCACACUGGAAAGUCCCCGCUAUAUAUACAUUUCUUCUUUAUUCUGUUUGUAUAACAUGCCCAUAUUAAGAGUGUCUUCCUUCUUCUGUAUAACUUUUAAAGGUCAGCCCACUAUGUAUAUAUGUCCCUGCCCAUCCUGUAUUUGUCAGGCUUGCAGAAUAAACCAUUCUAACUACAGUUUGGUCUCUUCUCAUGUCUCCGGGUCGACCUGCUGAACUUUGCUGAAUCUGGUGCCUAAUAUAGGGGAAUCUUACAGACUUGGGGGCUUCGUCCGGGAUACAUCUGAUCAGACUCUCUUUGUUUUACAGAUUUUGGGGGCCCCCACAUCAGCUAGCACCUCCACGCAGCAUAACUACUAGAAGGAUCAGCAUGAAGUGGCUAUGGACAUUGGGACUGUUUCUCUUUCUUGUUGCUCAAGCUAAUGCAGCCAGGCUGAAACGCUGGACACAUGAUCAUGAAUUUGGAUGGGCAGAGGAUGGGGCUGACAAUCCAAUUGAAAUAAUAUGUGGUAUCAAUAUGUAAAUGAGUUUUAGCUAGGUCAUAUAAUGUAUCUGGUUGUUAUGUAUGUUCUGUUAUGCCUCAUUCAGCCAAACAAACCCCUCUUUAUGCCAAACCCAUGAAUAAGACCUCUGCUAAAUGUUUUGCCAGUUUUGCAGGAUCAGGGUACCAGGACCCAUAUAUAAUUGUCGAUGACUACGAUCCAUACCGGAUUGGCAUUGGAAAUGGUACAUGUGAUGCUCUAUUUUGGGUAAAAUUUGGCCACGCUAAACCCGCACCUAUUAGCCACAAGGUUUUUAUUAACCAUUCUAUUACACACCCUGUGUGUUAUAACCAGACCAUGGGCUCUCAUUUCAUGGGAAGCACUGUUAACUGUCAACAAAUUGCCUCCUCGGGAGAAGGGGCCCCAGUUUAUGUGUCAGGACCCUCAAACGGCACUUAUGUGGUCCAGGGUGGGUGGUGGUUGUGUGGAAAAAACGCCUACAUGUCCCUACCGGCCAACUGGACGGGGCAGUGUGCCCCUGUGCAUGUGACUGAUCACACUUUUAUUGUGACAGCCCAGGUCCUGUCAGCGCAGCGAAGAGUUAAACGCAGUGUCCCUGAAAUGAAGCCCCAUGACUCUGUAUGGGGUACUGACGUGCCCGAGGAUUUUAAAUUAUGGACCACUGGUAACAAAGUGGUAUUGGCUCUAUUUCCGCAAAUAGGUGUGGGAAAAGCUCUACUAAGAAUUGAGACCCUGGACUAUCGCAUGGGCCUAUUCCUGAAUGCCUCAAAAAUAAUUAAUGAGGCCCAGAAUAAGGAGCUGGGUAAUCUACGUACCAUGGUUUUGCAAAAUAGAAUGGCUCUAGAUCUCUUAACAGCAUCCCAGGGGGAGGUAUGUAAAUGAGUACUGCUAUGUCUACUCUCCAAGGGUUAAAAAUUGCCAUGACUUCAGAUUAUGUUCCCGACACAACUUGGGGUUAGAUGAUGGGUCUGUUCGGCUGGGUAACUCCUUUCCUUACUAUGAUAAUUCCUGUAUGUAUUAUUUUCCUUCUUGUUUGUUGUUGUGGUCCUUUUCUCUUGCAAUGUUUAAUGAAUCGAAUCUAUGCCACAAUGGACAGUAUGAUGGGUCAACGAUAUGAUAAGAUUCCUCUGUGUUAGGCCUUUGGCCUAAAAGAGGGGACUGAGAGAACAUUUUGUCCUCUUUUAAGUGUGCUUCCAUGAGAAGCAGAAGUGUCUGUGGUUUUUUGUGUGUGUGUGCAUCGGAGGUCUGAAGGUCAACGUCUGGUUUCGGUCUUGCAGACAGCUCCCACACUGGAAAGUCCCCGCUAUAUAUACAUUUCUUCUUUACUCUGUUUGUAUAACAUGCCCAUAUUAAGAGUGUCUUCCUUCUUCUGUAUAACUUUUAAAGGUCAGCCCACUAUGUAUAUAUGUCCCUGCCCAUCCUGUAUUUGUCAGGCUUGCAGAAUAAACCAUUCUAACUACA
rnacentral:lncRNA from 1 species